AUUUUCCACCUCCUUUUGACUUUGCAAAAACACCUUCCUUUCUAGCGCCUUAAGUCCUAUGCUGAAUGUCUGUUAUAUUUGAUUCUCUUUGCAGGCUUACCCUUUGCUAAGUGAAGAGAGUCAAGAGAUGUUGACCCUUUUUCACCCCAGAGGGUAAAGGUCUGUUCUGCUUCAUCCCUAAAAAUCAGGCUGGGAAAAUGAAGAGGUGAGGCUGCAUGGUGCUCGACAUAAGAUGUGUGCAGGUUAGGACCUUGUUCUGAAAGUGACUGGGAUUAAGUGAAGCAUAGCAGUACGGGUAUCUAUUCCAAGAUGCUUUCUCUCUGGAUACUGAAAACAUGACCUGGGACUGAAGUAUAGAAAAGGAAGUCUGAAUGGGGCUCUCCGCCACUGGAGCAGGUGUGCCUGUGAUGUAACUGUGUCUCCUUUAGUGAAACACCAGACCAGUAGCCAGCAACUUCUGCUGAAUGUCACAAUGAGCUCAGAUCUGCAAGAGAUAAUUCCAGGGUAAUUUAUGUAUGUUCCCUAAAUGUUUACUGUAAGAUUUUCCCCAAAUGCAAAAAAUUAAAGGAAUGAUAAAAAGCCAGGAUGAAAUGUGGGGGUGGGAGGGAGUUGAAGAGGGAGCAUCAUAUAUGACUGAUUUGCCUUGUUGUACAGCAGAAACCAACACAGCGUUGUAAUAAUCCUCCAAUUAAAAUAAAUAAAUUAAUUAAAACAAUAAAUUAAAAAAUUCACUAAUCAUUUAGAUUUAACAAUCUUUAUUAUUUUUGCUGCAUUUGGUUUAUUCUUGUUGUGUGUAUAUAUUGUUUGGGCUGCCAUUUAUUUUUUAUUAUGUCUCAUCUCUUUCCUAUAAACUGAAAUUAGGUCAAAAGACUGUAUUACACUCAAAUUAAACAUUUUUUGGCAAGGAAAUUGUGUUAUAAACUGCUACAACUAUAUAACUGCUAUUUAUAUAACUAUAUAACUGCUAUAACUAAAACAUACUAUAAACUGCAUUUUAUAUUAAUGAGAAAAGAAGUAGUGAUAGGCUGUCAUUUGGCUAUAUUCAUUUAUGUCUUUUGCAUUUCUCAGAUUUAUGUACAAAGCUUAGCUUACACUUUUCCUAGUCAGACCUGGCUCCUUUCAGUGGGGAUUUUAUCUGCAAACCAAGAUCUGUGUGUUUGGGAUAUUCAGUAGGUGACAU